rnacentral:tRNA from 1 species
AAGACUUUAAGUUAAUACAAACUAAAAACCUUCAAAGUUUUCAAUGAACUGUUUCAAGUCUUG